UACCAACCCUCCGAGUUGUAGGGAUGAUUAUUUGGCUUAAAGCGUUCGUAGCUGGCUUGGAAAGUCUUCCGUUAAAUCCAGCGAUUAAUCGUUGGUCUGCGGAAGAUACUAUCAAGCUAGGAGGCGGAAGAGGCCGACGGUAUUCCUAGGGGAGGGGUGAAAUCCUAUAAUCCUAGGAGGACCACCAGUGGCGAAGGCGGUCGGCCAGAACGCACUCGACAGUGAGGGACGAAAGCUGGGGGAGCAAACCGGGAUUAGGUACCCGGGUAGUCCCAGCAGUAAACUAUGCAGGCUAGGUGUUGGGGUGGCUACGAGCCACUUCAGUGCCGCAGGGAAACCGUUAAGCUUGCCGCCUGGGGAGUACGACCGCAAGGUUGAAACUUAAAGGAAUUGGCGGGGGAGCACUACAAGGGGUGAAGGCUGCGGUUU
rnacentral:rRNA from 1 species